CUUCCGUGUCCCCAAACGCCCAGAGCCCGGGACACGGGCCGGCGGCCGGGUCACCAAGCCAGUUCCCGGAAUCGGCUCGCGCCGGAAUCCAGACUCGGCUUGCAAAGCCCGCUCCUGCCGUCUCUCCGCAGCGCGCCCUGCCCCCCACUGCCGGCCCUCUUAGCUUCAAAACCAAAUUUUGCCUUUCAUCCUGAGAGAUUAAUACCCCGCAGGUGAAACCGUGGAGACGGAGCUGCGGAGGCGCUGCAAGGCUCCGUGCUCCUGGAGCUUCGAGUCUAUGGUAUGAGUUAAACAGAAGGGUAUCUCCUCCAUCAGAUCUACAGGAGGGUGUCUGCUCCAUCAGACCUGGAGCUUCCAAGGCAUUUUACCCGAAGCUCCAGCACCUGGCCCAAGGCUGGGCUGUGCUGUGUCCUCAGUGAAAGAAUGGAUGAGUCACAGCUGAAUGACUGAAGAGCUGAACCAGUAGGUUUCCCUGGGGUUUCCACAGGCAGUUUCAGCCCAGGGGAAGACCCAGGGAGAUGAGGGCCACCUUGCAGGACGCUGUGGUGUGGAGGCAGCAGCCUGGGGCAGGGACUGUGCUGAGUGUCUGAGGCCGAGCCACCCCUCUGUAACCUCUAUAAUCCAUCAGGUCUCAGAGGGCCGUCCUAUGUUCAGUAAGCCAAUGCUAGCACCAUGUGACGAGGACACAGCAGUGAGCAGCUGCCCAGGCCCCUUGCACUGUGUUUGGAAAAGGAAGCUGGCUUGUUCAGGGGUCCCCAGCAGGAUGGGGGGCGGGGGCAGGGACCAUGGCAGAGCGAGAGUUCUAGGAGAGAAGCUGGUCCACCCACAGGCUCCCUGGCCUGGGUGCUGUACCAGGCAGGGUGCUGGGCAUUGUGCUGCUCACUUCCCACCCCUGGGUUGCAACUGGGGGCUGUGUGGCCUUCCCAGUCCUGUUGUGGGUGCUGUGAUUGUGCCCACCUUACAGAUGGGAAAACUGAUGCUCAGAGGCUUGAGCAACCUAGGCCAGGACCUGUCCUUAGAGGCAGAAGCAGGACUCAGAGGAAGAGCACCCUGACCACAAAGCCCCAGGUGACUUACACUGCAGGGAUGGCGCUCUCCGGGGUGUGCAGGGUGGCAGAGGUGCCUCUGCAGAGAGAUCCCUGCCUGGGACCCUUUCCUGGGGCUCUUCUGGUGCUGGGAGUGUGAGCACCACGAAAGCCCCACUACAGUCAUGCCACCCAGAGGGCGCUCUGGCCUCUUGGUCACCCGUGUCCUUCUGGCAAUGACCAAUACACUUUUUUGCCAGGGUCCAGAAAGACUCAGCCACUGGAGUCUGUAUUUCCUGAGUCGCCUCUCACUGGUAAGUCCUGAGCCCCGUUCCUUCCCAGCACCCACUCUUGGAGCAGCUCUCCAGGGCUGUGCUGUGGCUGCUGCGGUCAGGGAGAGGUCGCAUGCUCCAGCCAGGGUCUUUGGGGACUCAGUUUAGAACUAAUACGCCAAGCAAGUCGUGCUGAGUGUCUGGGCUUCUUCUAGGAAGGUAUUUCCAAUCAUCAAAUGUGCCAUUAAAAAAAAUGCAUGUCAGUUAAGUGUGCACUAAGCCUGGACCACAUGGGACAUAGUGGUUCCAAUAAACACGAAUAAGCCAGUUUUCACAUUAGAGAAAUACCAGUUUCUUGCAGAAAUGCGGUGCUUUUAAAAGAGGUUAAUUAAUAAACAGCAGGUAAUUGUUCGUGGCACGUUGUGGCAGAGGGUAAUUUUCAUUUUAGAGGAUGGAAGGGCCAAAUACCCCUCCCCACUCAGCAUUUUUCUGUAAUAAUCACCUCAGCUUCACCUCCGCCUUUCAUUUUUACAGCUGGAGCUGUUUAUCAUCGCUCCAACUUUCACUAAAAAGGAAAAACUAUCACUUAAACAAAGCCAUUGAAACCCCAGCAUCAUGUGUGGAUUUUUUAACAUAAAUAAAUCAUACAAACUA
rnacentral:lncRNA from 1 species